GAUGAACGCUGGCGGCGUGCCUAAUACAUGCAAGUCGAGCGAACGGACGAGAAGCUUGCUUUUCUGAUGUUAGCGGCGGACGGGUGAGUAACACGUGGAUAACCUACCUAUAAGACUGGGAUAACUUCGGGAAACCGGAGCUAAUACCGGAUAAUAUUUUGAACCGCAUGGUUCAAAAGUGAAAGACGGUCUUGCUGUCACUUAUAGAUGGAUCCGCGCUGCAUUAGCUAGUUGGUAAGGUAACGGCUUACCAAGGCAACGAUGCAUAGCCGACCUGAGAGGGUGAUCGGCCACACUGGAACUGAGACACGGUCCAGACUCCUACGGGAGGCAGCAGUAGGGAAUCUUCCGCAAUGGGCGAAAGCCUGACGGAGCAACGCCGCGUGAGUGAUGAAGGUCUUCGGAUCGUAAAACUCUGUUAUUAGGGAGGAACAUAUGUGUAAGUAACUGUGCACAUCUUGACGGUACCUAAUCAGAAAGCCACGGCUAACUACGUGCCAGCAGCCGCGGUAAUACGUAGGUGGCAAGCGUUAUCCGGAAUUAUUGGGCGUAAAGCGCGCGUAGGCGGUUUUUUAAGUCUGAUGUGAAAGCCCACGGCUCAACCGUGGAGGGUCAUUGGAAACUGGAAAACUUGAGUGCAGAAGAGGAAAGUGGAAUUCCAUGUGUAGCGGUGAAAUGCGCAGAGAUAUGGAGGAACACCAGUGGCGAAGGCGACUUUCUGGUCUGUAACUGACGCUGAUGUGCGAAAGCGUGGGGAUCAAACAGGAUUAGAUACCCUGGUAGUCCACGCCGUAAACGAUGAGUGCUAAGUGUUAGGGGGUUUCCGCCCCUUAGUGCUGCAGCUAACGCAUUAAGCACUCCGCCUGGGGAGUACGACCGCAAGGUUGAAACUCAAAGGAAUUGACGGGGACCCGCACAAGCGGUGGAGCAUGUGGUUUAAUUCGAAGCAACGCGAAGAACCUUACCAAAUCUUGACAUCCUUUGACAACUCUAGAGAUAGAGCCUUCCCCUUCGGGGGACAAAGUGACAGGUGGUGCAUGGUUGUCGUCAGCUCGUGUCGUGAGAUGUUGGGUUAAGUCCCGCAACGAGCGCAACCCUUAAGCUUAGUUGCCAUCAUUAAGUUGGGCACUCUAAGUUGACUGCCGGUGACAAACCGGAGGAAGGUGGGGAUGACGUCAAAUCAUCAUGCCCCUUAUGAUUUGGGCUACACACGUGCUACAAUGGACAAUACAAAGGGCAGCGAAACCGCGAGGUCAAGCAAAUCCCAUAAAGUUGUUCUCAGUUCGGAUUGUAGUCUGCAACUCGACUACAUGAAGCUGGAAUCGCUAGUAAUCGUAGAUCAGCAUGCUACGGUGAAUACGUUCCCGGGUCU
rnacentral:rRNA from 1 species